GGAAAUUAUUGCUUAACUACUGUUAUGUAUUCACUGGCAGUCUUAGCCACUCAGCCAAAGAUAGUUCAAAAAAGGAAGUAGAGAAAGCUGAUUGAAGUGAAAUCCUCAAACUAAAUAUGAAAAAUAGAAGACUUAAGGCUUUAUAUUUUUCUUUCAUGAAGAAUCCCUAAUGUUCCUGACAUUAGAAAACCAUUUAAAAUCAAACUGCUGUGACUUUAUCAUUGUUGCGUCAUGAUUGCUUUGAUGUCUGAUCAUUUGGAUGUUUAUUCCUGGGACUGCCUUACUCAUUUCCACAGUGGGGCACACUCACAUGGUGGAGGGGUAGGGGAUUGUUUGUGGACACAAAUGGGGAAAUCCUUCUCUCUCUCUCUCUCUCUGUGUCUGUGUGUGUUACUGUAAGAUUUGGUUAAUAGAUGGGGAGCAGAGGGGACUGAUUUCAAGUAGAAGACAUUUCCUAUGGUUGCCGUGCUUGAGUACCAGCGUUAGCAGUCAUUAUAAGCUUAUGAUAAGCACCCACUCAUGCAGCUGAAAUUAUUACUAAAAACUGGUCAUGAAGAUGGCAUUUAUGCAGACCACUAAGCAUCAUACCAGCCAGUUACACAUGCAGAAAUGUGAAUGGUACAUGUAACUUUUCAAGUCAUUAACCACCAGCAUCACAAUUUCCUUUAGGUUCUUAAAAUUGUGUUGUAUGCAUUUGCAUAGAACCUAUGGAUUGUUACUCAGACAAUUUAACUGGCUCCUGUUGAAGAUUAUCAGUCUCUCCCUCACUCUGAAUCAGCACGUGGGAGAUUAUAGUUGUUUCCAUCUGUACAGGUUAUCUGAGGACUUGGGUUACCUGAGAAACCACUCUCAAGGAUCAGUGUUUAAUGUGGCCUUUCUAAGAGACAACACCAACAAAGAGCUGCUCUUGGCAGAUGGUACAGGAACAUGGCUGUGAGAAUGUGCUACCCUCAUGGUCCCCUGCUGACCCUCUACACUGGGAAACAUAUGCAUUGUUCAUUUCUCUGAUAUGUGAAUCAGGUAUAACCAUCAAUAACGUAAGCAAUACUAGUGAGCAGCUCUUAUGGAAAUAAUUGGACUGUUAACGGUAUCUGUUCUGAACUUGGGACUUCUCAUUUAUAUAUAAUCAUGCAAAUAGUUUAUUGUUAGCAAUUGAUAGUAGACUUUUGUGUCAUAACAUUUCCUUCGGUUUCUGUAAAACUUUAAGUAUGUGUAAAACUGAUGGUCUUUUUUUUUAAACUUCUUCAAUCCAAUUACAGUACCCAUCUACUCAGACAUGCCUUGAGAACUACAGCAUCAUCAGUGUUACCUAUGAAUUUUAGGCUAGGGUACUUACCUACUAGAGUAGCAUUCAAAAGUAAUUCUACUGAACAAGUAUAAUAUUAAGGAACAGGAGAGCUUAAGGUACAGCAUUAAAGUUUACUUUAUUUUAAAGAUGCAUCACUAACCUGAAACCCAGUGAUUUAUUAUUUUUUUAAUAAAUUAGUAGUAAUCUCAGGAUCUGCA
rnacentral:lncRNA from 1 species